GACGAACGCUGGCGGCGUGCUUAACGCAUGCAAGUCGAACGGUGAAGGGGAGCUUGCUCCCCGGAUCAGUGGCGAACGGGUGAGUAACACGUGGGCAGCCUGCCCCAGACUUCGGGAUAACGCUUCGAAAGAGGUGCUAAUACCGGAUACGAACUCCUUGGGCAUCCUGGGAGUUGGAAAGUUUUUCGGUCUGGGUUGGGCCCGCGGCCUAUCAGCUAGUUGGUGAGGUAACGGCUCACCAAGGCGACGACGGGUAGCCGGCCUGAGAGGGCGACCGGCCACACUGGGACUGAGACACGGCCCAGACUCCUACGGGAGGCAGCAGUGGGGAAUAUUGGACAAUGGGCGAAAGCCUGAUCCAGCCAUGCCGCGUGUGUGAAGAAGGUCUUCGGAUUGUAAAGCACUUUAAGUUGGGAGGAAGGGCAGUAAGUUAAUACCUUGCUGUUUUGACGUUACCGACAGAAUAAGCACCGGCUAACUUCGUGCCAGCCGCCGCCGUAA
rnacentral:rRNA from 1 species